AUGGAAUAUGUAAUGCAAUUGUGGUCUUGGUCCUAUGCUUUUAUUAAUGAUCUAUAAGUGCUUAGCUUAUCAUGGUUGGGAACGUUAGAUUCUUUAUAGAAAUUCGUAUCUGUAAGUAUUGUUGUUGAUUCAAAGCAAUGUUGAUGUGGCCAAUGGAAGACAUGAUGACCAGGUCGAAACUAAUCACCCUGCUCAAAUUUCGCACAAUUAUGAGCUCUUGAGAUCUCAAAUAUGAACUCCACGAGGAGGAAGAAAAUGAAUAUUUUUUUGAUGCAUAGGCCCAGUUGAAUGUUUAAUUACGAACUACAUUUGCUGUAGAUGAGAACAUUGAAUGCUCGAAAGGUAGUCUAUAAGCUGCUUAUUUCUAAAGGUGAUAACUCUGAGCACUGUUUCAGAUGCUUUCCUCUGUCUGUUGGUUUUAUUAAACAUCCAAAACUCUUGAUAAGCACGCAGAAUAAAAUUUUGACAAAUGUAAAAGACAUGUUGACCUUCUAACUUGUCUUUCAUGCAAAUUGAAGCCAACUCUGACAAUUUAUCUGGAUUCCAAUUCAUCUCUCAUGUGUCUGAAAUGCAUCUCUAAGAAGCCUUUGCGGCAGUAAAUUUCCAUUAAUUAGCAAAAGGCUUAUCGGGGAGACUUAUCUGUCUGAAGCAGAUUUUUGGGAUAAAGGCUUUAAUGAUGCUGAUGAUGAUGAUCUAUCUGAAGCUGUGCGCUACUUAUAGUAAAGAAGUAACACCGUGAGAAACGGUAGGUGGAAGCGUCUGCAAUGAUAUUCCUAAAGCCACCAACUGUUGAAGCCACCAUGAUGAAUGCUCCAAUGAAGAUGGAUGCCUGAAGUUCAUAUUACCAGAUAUGUUAAUGCACAAGUAAAUGAAGAACAAGGGAUUUGUAAUUCAUUAAUCUCGAUCGAUAUAUUACCCAGUUGAUGAACCA